CAGAGUGGCAAGCGUUGUUCGGAUUCAUUGGGUGUAAAGGGCAGGUAGGUGGCUAUGCAAGUCUGGUGUGAAAUCCCAGGGCUCAACCCUGGAACUGCAUUGGAAACUGCAUGGCUUGAGUACCGGAGAGGUGAGGGGAAUUCUCGGUGUAAGGGUGAAAUCUGUAGAUAUCGAGAGGAACACCAGUGGCGAAGGCGCCUCACUGGCCGGUAACUGACACUGAGCUGCGAAAGCAAGGGGAGCAAACAGGAUUAGAUACCCUGGUAGUCCUUGCCGUAAACGAUGUGGAUUAGGUGUUGGGGGUGUCGAUCCCUCCAGCGCCGACGCUAACGCAUUAAAUCCACCACCUGGGGAGUACGGUCGCAAGACUG
rnacentral:rRNA from 1 species